rnacentral:lncRNA from 1 species
CAAAAAAUCACGAAAAAUCGAGACUUACCGGCGGCGGUGCUCUCGGGUGCGGCGGCUCCUCCGGCGUGAGUCGCGUUUUGAUGUUUGACUCCGAUCAACCUGUAGAGAAAAGAACGAUGAUCACAGUAGUAUAAAAUUUACAUCGAACGGAGGCCGGGAAGGGCCUCAUCGGAGGCAAAAACUGAGGAGGGGCGCGGCAGCGCCGCUGGGCUUCGGCUGGGUUUUUCGGCCGUUUGGCCGGUGGUUUGACUCCGGUUUGGCCAUAGGCGGACUCAACAUCGAAAAACGAGCAAGGGGGAGAAAAUUUACCUCGAUCGGCGGUCGAAAACUUCCUCGGUGCGGCGGCGGGUGGCGGCGGCCGACUCCUCUGGCGUUUGGUUCUUCUUCUCCAGCAAGGCACUGGCGGCUAGGGUUUU